AUUAAGCAUCUCGAGCCCCUCCUUCGCGUAAAGCUUCGGAGGGCGGCAACCCUAAAACAGGCAGGGUGCCAAAAUUGAUGCGCCCGAAAAGGGAACUGUUUAGUGGCACU
rfam:Candidatus Woykebacteria bacterium RBG_13_40_15 RBG_13_scaffold_28, whole genome shotgun sequence.